rnacentral:rRNA from 1 species
GUCGUAACAAGGUUUCCGUAGGUGAACCUGCGGAAGGAUCAUUAUCGAAUCUAGACUCGGUGAAGCUGUUUUGCUGGCCCCCUUGCGGGCAUGUGCACGCUUCCCAGUCAGUUUUCUCUACCCACCUGUGCACCCUCUGUAGGUACCGGAUUUGGAGGCUGCUGGUUUUUCUGCUGGCCGCCUCUUGUGUCCUUUCGGGCCUGCGUGCUUUUUUUACACACACCUUAAUAAAAAAUGAAUGUUCUUUGAAUGACCUUGAUGAAUAAUCAAGAAAAACCUUUGUACAACUUUCAACAACGGAUCUCUUGGCUCUCGCAUCGAUGAAGAACGCAGCGAAAUGCGAUAAGUAAUGUGAAUUGCAGAAUUCAGUGAAUCAUCGAAUCUUUGAACGCACCUUGCGCCCUCUGGUAUUCCGGAGGGCAUGCCUGUUUGAGUGUCAUUUAAUUCUCAACCCACAACCCGCUUUUUCUUGCUGGGGGAACGGGCUCUGGAUUGUUGGAGGCGUGCCGGCCUUUCUUUGGUCGGCUCCUCUCAAAUGCAUUAGCGAGGACCCUCUCCUUCUUUGCCUCUGGCGUGAUAAACAUCAUGUUUACGCCGUCGUUUGCGAGUAGGAAAACGGGUCGCCUGGCUUCUAAAACAAAAACACCUUUUUGACACAUCUGACCUCAAUCAGGUAGGACUACCCGCUGAACUUAAG